rnacentral:rRNA from 1 species
ACGGUGGGUGCUAGUUGUGGGUCACAUUCCACGUGAUCCGUGACGAAGUUAACACAUUAAGCACCCCGCCUGGGGAGUACGGUCGCAAGACUAAAACUCAAAGGAAUUGACGGGGGCCCGCACAAGCGGCGGAGCAUGCGGAUUAAUUCGAUGCAACGCGAAGAACCUUACCAAGGCUUGACAUAUACAGGAAAAGCGUAGAAAUACGCUCCCCGCAAGGUCUGUAUACAGGUGGUGCAUGGUUGUCGUCAGCUCGUGUCGUGAGAUGUUGGGUUAAGUCCCGCAACGAGCGCAACCCUCGUCCUAUGUUGCCAGCACGUAAUGGUGGGAACUCAUGGGAGACUGCCGGGGUCAACUCGGAGGAAGGUGGGGAUGACGUCAAAUCAUCAUGCCCCUUAUGUCUUGGGCUUCACGCAUGCUACAAUGGCCAGUACAAAGGGCUGCGAUACCGUAAGGUGGAGCGAAUCCCAUAAAGCUGGUCUCAGUUCGGAUUGAGGUCUGCAACUCGACCUCAUGAAGUCGGAGUCGCUAGUAAUCGUAGAUCAGCAACGCUACGGUGAAUACGUUCCCGGGCCUUGUACACACCGCCCGUCAAGUCACGAAAGUCGGUAACACCCGAAGCCGGUGGCCUAACCGUAAGGAAGGAGCCGUCGAAG